GGGUGACAAGCAGGGAACAAGUAGAACAGCAGAUAUAUGGAUGCUACAAAGUAUGGACCCAUGGCAAUUCAAAAGAGGUCACUAGUGGAUUCAGUAGGGAUAUGUCAAGCUUGAUUGUCCAGGUAGCACUUGGGGCAUCUGGAUAAAAAUAGAAGCAUUGCAGGGACACACAUACGAUAAUGUGACACCUCUAAUCGCAAUA
rnacentral:lncRNA from 1 species